rnacentral:lncRNA from 1 species
CCAUAUGUUGUCAGAAUGGACUCUCACGUUCCAAAAGCUUCGAUAUUCAUAUUUGAAAAUUAUUGGGCAGACUUUCCAGAUUUCAUUGACACAGUUCAGUUACAUUGGCACUAAAAUCCUUUCUUUGCUAAUAUGGCUAAUGUAACGUCCCAUUUUUAGAGCAUUUAAAAAUACGUACUUUUUAAAAAUUUUCUUUAAAUACAAACUAAACUCCUUUUCUCCAAAAUAUUCAAAAUCGUUUUCACAAACUAACCUUUCAUUAACCAACAUAUAUGUUGCAUUUGGUUGUUCCUUCAACACCUCCCUUCCAAAUCCUUCUUCUAAGUCCAAGGACUAAUAGUCAAACCACCCUUGAAUAUUGCCUACAACCAAAACCCUAUAGGGAUCUUUCAAUCCUAACUCCUUCCCACCUUACCCCAACUCCUAAACUCUUCAAAAAGUCCAUAUUCUAUGUCUUAUUCAAGCCUACACCUCAAGCACAAUCCAAAUUUGAAAUCCAUUUUAAUUUUGGAUUCAAACAUCAACUAAAUUAAUAGGAAACCUCUUUGAAACCUUAUGCAGGCUGACAACUUCCCAUCCGGCCCACCUCUUCUUCCAGCUCAGCUCACCUCCGUUCCUCCCUCCAUCGCAUAAUUUAACUUGCUUAGUUCAACACGAC